UACGUAGGGUGCGAGCGUUAAUCGGAAUUACUGGGCGUAAAGCGUGCGCAGGCGGUUUUGUAAGCCAGAUGUGAAAUCCCCGGGCUUAACCUGGGAAUGGCAUUUGGGACUGCAAGGCUGGAGUGCGGCAGAGGAGACUGGAAUUCCUGGUGUAGCAGUGAAAUGCGUAGAUAUCAGGAGGAACACCGAUGGCGAGGGCAGGUCUCUGGGCUGACACUGACGCUCAUGCACGAAAGCGUGGGGAGCAAACAGG
rnacentral:rRNA from 1 species